GAAAUGCGAUACGCAAUGCGAAUAGCAGAUCCGCGAGACAUUAGAUUUUCGAACGCACCUGGCGCUAGUUUACUAGCAUGUUUGUUUCAGUGUGUUUGGAGAGAUUCUAAUCAUCAAAAAGAAUGUGAUUGAGGCUUCGGCUUCUUUCAUUAAAUAAGAGAGUGUAUGAGUUUCAUACACAAAAAUGAAGUAGUCACAGUCAUGUGAUCUCAUUUUUGUCGAUUCUCUAAAUAAACACUCUAUUCUUUCUCCUUUUUUGACACCUGAAAUCAAGCAAGAUCACCCGCUGAACUUAA
rnacentral:misc_RNA from 1 species